rnacentral:lncRNA from 1 species
CUUACAUUAGGUCAUCUAAGACUCAGGUUUGACUGAAUUUGGACAAUGUUAACUCAUUUGACUUGUGUUGAACUUCUUCUAGAAGAAAAAAGUCAAGGAAUACUUUUUCUCAGCCUUCUGAUCUGGCUUCUGAGACCACUUCUCUCUGACUGGUGAGACUAUACUGGAAGCCUCUUCCCUCUGUGCUGGAAGGCAGCUGCUCUCAGCUUGGUGUUAUGUCUACCUCAACAGCGAGAAAGAAAAGCUCAGUUCCUAGUUUCUCAUAACUUGCAUGCAGUAAACCAAGAAGCUAAGGACAUUCCAGCAACAUAUCCCAGUGGCAACGCUCUAUCUUCAUUCACAUGUCUUAGUAGCCCAGCCCUUAAAUGGGUCACCGGAGCAUCUCUCUCAGGUAUUUACUGUAAAGAAGAAAACCUCCACUGCCCAUAUCCAAACUUCAGAGGAGCAUUUAAAGCAGA